GAUGAACGCUGGCGGCGUGCCUAAUAAAUGCAAGUCGAGCGAACAGAUGAGGAGCUUGCUCCUCUGACGUUAGCGGCGGACGGGUGGGUAACACGUGGAUAACCUACCUAUAAGACUGGGAUAACUUCGGGAAACCGGAGCUACUACCGGAUAAUAUAUUGAACCGCAUGGUUCAAUAGUGAAAGACGGUUUUGCUGUCACUUAUAGAUGGAUCCGCGCCGCAUUAGCUAGUUGGUAAGGUAACGGCUUACCAAGGCAACGAUGCGUAGCCGACCUGAGAGGGUGAUCGGCCACACUGGAACUGAGACACGGUCCAGACUCCUACGGGAGGCAGCAGUAGGGAAUCUUCCGCAAUGGGCGAAAGCCUGACGGAGCAACGCCGCGUGAGUGAUGAAGGUCUUCGGAUCGUAAAACUCUGUUAUUAGGGAAGAACAAAUGUGUAAGUAACUAUGCACGUCUUGACGGUACCUAAUCAGAAAGCCACGGCUAACUACGUG
rnacentral:rRNA from 1 species